rnacentral:rRNA from 1 species
AUGGGCGUCGGAGGGGAGAAGUUCCAGCUGGGGACGGUGGGGGCGCUGGGCCUCUCCGUGGUGUCCUCCGUGUCCAUUGUCAUCUGCAACAAGGCCCUCAUGAGCUCCCUCGGCUUCACCUUUGCUACCACCUUGACGAGCUGGCAUCUCCUGGUCACUUUCUGCUCCCUUCAUGUCGCACUAUGGAUGAAGUUUUUCGAGCACAAGGCUUUUGAUUCGAGAACUGUCAUGGGAUUCGGAGUACUCAAUGGCAUCUCCAUUGGGCUCCUCAAUCUGAGUCUUGGUUUCAAUUCUGUUGGUUUUUACCAGAUGACAAAGCUGGCCAUCAUCCCCUGCACUGUUAUUUUGGAGACUCUUUUCUUCAGGAAGAAGUUCAGCCGGACUAUCCAGAUUUCCCUUUCCGUGCUUCUUUUGGGUGUCGGUGUUGCAACCGUGACUGAUUUGCAACUCAAUGCUGUGGGGUCCAUACUGUCCUUGCUGGCAAUUAUCACGACUUGCAUCGCUCAAAUUAUGACAAACACUAUUCAGAAGAAAUUCAAGGUUUCUUCAACCCAGCUGCUAUAUCAGUCUUGUCCUUACCAGUCAUUGACACUGUUUCUUAUCGGCCCGUUCCUUGAUGGAUUCCUGACUAACCAAAACGUCUUCGCUUUCAAUUACACAUCUAACGUUGUGUUUUUCAUCGUCUUGUCGUGUUUGAUAUCGGUCUCAGUAAACUUCAGCACCUUUCUUGUGAUCGGAAAGACAUCUCCUGUUACUUACCAAGUCCUGGGCCAUCUUAAAACGUGCCUAGUUUUGACCUUCGGUUACGUUUUGCUUCAUGAUCCAUUUAGCUGGAGAAACAUACUUGGCAUCCUAAUUGCGGUUGUUGGGAUGGUACUAUAUUCAUACUUCUGCUCAAUAGAGACUCAACCAAAAAAUAACGAUGUCUCCGGACAGCAGGUACCUUGCUUUUCAAAUCUCAUGCCUUGUAAAUAUUUAAUAUUUUAUUUGCAACAAUUCUCCUGUGGUUCUUUAGCUUCAUUACUUUUAUUUCUUGUUUAUAAAUCCCUAUGUGUUCUCUACAUUGCAGUCAAAAGAAGGUGA